GACGAACGCUGGCGGCGUGCUUAACACAUGCAAGUCGAACGGAAAGGCCCUGCUUUUGUGGGGUGCUCGGGUGGCGAGCGGGAGAGUAACACGAGAGUAACCUACCCUUCACUUUGGGACAACUUAAGGACACUGGGGCUAAGACAGGAUAGGAGCUCCUGCGGCAUGGUGGGGGUUGGAAAGUUUCGGCGGUUGGGGAUGGGCUGGCGGCUUAUCAGCUUGUUGGUGGGGUGGGGGCGUACGAGGGCUUUGACGGGUGGGCGGCCUGAGCGGGUGGGCGGUCACACUGGGACGGAGGAACGGGCGAGACUACUACGGGAGGCAGCAGUGGGGAAUAGUGCAGAAUGGGCGCAAGGCUGAUGCGGCGGCGCGGCGUGAGGGAUGGAGGCCUUCGGGUUGUGACCGUCUUUCGCCAGUGAAGCAGGGCUGCCUGGUUUGUGGGUGGGUUGACGGUAGCUGGAUAAGAAGCGCCGGCUAACUACGUG
rnacentral:rRNA from 1 species